rnacentral:rRNA from 1 species
UACGUGGGGUGCAAGCGUUGUCCGGAAUUAUUGGGCGUAAAGAGCUCGUAGGCGGUUUGUCGCGUCUGCUGUGAAAACCCGAGGCUCAACCUCGGGCCUGCAGUGGGUACGGGCAGACUAGAGUGCGGUAGGGGAGAUUGGAAUUCCUGGUGUAGCGGUGGAAUGCGCAGAUAUCAGGAGGAACACCAAUGGGCGAAGGCAGAUCUCUGGGCCGUAACUGACGCUGAGGAGCGAAAGCAUGGGGAGCGAACAGG